rnacentral:rRNA from 2 species
CGCGGAAGAUGUAACGGGGCUAAGCUAUACACCGAAGCUGCGGCUACGUACCUUAGGGUAUGUGGGGUAGGGGAGCGUUCUGUAAGCCGUUGAAGGUGUGCUGUAAGGCAUGCUGGAGGUAUCAGAAGUGCGAAUGCUGACAUGAGUAACGAUAAAGGGAGUGAAAAACUCCCUCGCCGGAAGACCAAGGGUUCCUGUCCAACGUUAA